ACCACUAAAAGAGACCAGUGACACCGUGUCAAGGAAGAGAGUUAGACCUUCUCUGUCAGCAUUUGGCUUUGUGAUCUCAUGCAUGAGAUUUAAAGCCUAUGAGCUUCAGUUAGUUCACCUGAACAAAGAAAGUGACUUGAGCUAAUUCAAGAAUGAAGUCCUCAAUGAUUUGGACCAAAGUUGACUUCUUUUAUGUUCACACCUUGGAGAGUGCUAGGUGACUGUUACCUGGGAAGACCAGCCCUUUUCCUGUGCACAGCUUGAAGUGUGUGAGGAGACAAUCUCCAAUUAAAUUGAACACCCCCACAAGGAGUUCUGUGGAAUAGGUCCUAAAGGCCACUGCCCUGAAUUUGAAAGGACUCGUUUAUGCCCUAAUGUUGAUGAGGUUUGAGAAACAACCAUUCUAAAGCAACACGGACUGUGUCUUUCUGUUCAGACCCACUUGGGUUCAUGUCCCGGUGUGUGAACUUGGGAAGCAAUAAUCUCUUGUUUUAAAACAAUGUCUUUGUAAAGCUACGGGAAAUAAAUGAGCUGUCUCUUCCUGCGAUGCCAAGUUGAAUGACGAUUUUACUUAAAGUUGAACUCAACAGAAAACACUGACACAAUUCAAAACAUGCUCAAAGAUGCUCUUAUAAAGAUAUACUCGAAUCUUUUAUACAAUGUAAGACAUAUGAGAAAAUACUGAUUGACUUCUCCUUGUCAGUAUGGAAACGUACUCUUUCACACAAGAGGAAAAAUAAAUACUAUCUUAGACACAGCAGAAGAAGGAAUUGACUCUUACAUCCAGUAUUUAUGGACUAUCCCUAGCUUCUAUUUUGACUUCUAAGCUAUGCUUCCUUAAUGAAUGGAGGGACCACUAUAGGACAGGAAUUUAAGCCUUUUGACGCAUGUGUAGUUAAUAUAUUUCACUUCACCAGAGUGAGGAACAAGAACAAAAGAGUUGCUUCUUCUAAUAAUCAAAUUAAUAAUGAC